UACAGAGGUCCCAAGCGUUGUUCGGAUUCACUGGGCGUAAAGGGUGCGUAGGCGGUCGGGUAAGUCUGACGUGAAAUCUCCAAGCUCAACUUGGAAAUGGCGUCGGAUACUAUUCGGCUCGAGGAAUGGAGGGGAGACUGGAAUUCUCGGUGUAGCAGUGAAAUGCGUAGAGAUCGAGCGGAACACCAGUGGCGAAGGCGAGUUCCUGGACAAGUCCUGACGCUGAGGCACGAAAGCCAGGGGAGCAAACAGG
rnacentral:rRNA from 1 species